rnacentral:misc_RNA from 1 species
AGAAGAUCACACUUGCUCCUCCAGCUCUUGCACCCUAGCACUAGUAAUGGUCAAAUUAUUUUUAAAGGCUACAGCUUUGGUGAUUGCCUUUGAUAUCUCCCACCUAAGAAAGUUCACCUUUUCUUUCACCAUAUGUUGGGUGGCAACUACCUCCAAACUCAAGCUCAUGGAUUGAUUGAGGAGAUCGUUAAUACUCUCUGGACCCAUCCAAGCUUGAUUUUUUGGAAGGCAUAGGGUUGCAGUAGUAACCCUAGCUAGGUCAAUGUUGCCUUUCAGAGAUUGGUUCCUCUCCAAAGACUGGGAAAG